CACUCCUGCGGGAGGCAGCAGUGGGGAAUAUUGGACAAUGGGCGCAAGCCUGAUCCAGCCAUGCCGCGUGAGUGAUGAAGGCCCUAGGGUUGUAAAGCUCUUUUGUGCGGGAAGAUAAUGACGGUACCGCAAGAAUAAGCCCCGGCUAACUUCGUGCCAGCAGCCGCGGUAAUACGAAGGGGGCUAGCGUUGCUCGGAAUCACUGGGCGUAAAGGGUGCGUAGGCGGGUCUUUAAGUCAGGGGUGAAAUCCUGGAGCUCAACUCCAGAACUGCCUUUGAUACUGAAGAUCUUGAGUUCGGGAGAGGUGAGUGGAACUGCGAGUGUAGAGGUGAAAUUCGUAGAUAUUCGCAAGAACACCAGUGGCGAAGGCGGCUCACUGGCCCGAUACUGACGCUGAGGCACGAAAGCGUGGGGAGCAAACAGGAUUAGAAACCCCGGUAGUCCCAUGA
rnacentral:rRNA from 1 species